AUAAUACUGAAAUUGGCACAGACAGUUCUGUAACAGAUGCUCACGAAGACUGAGAAACCUAUAAAAAUAGAGAUCUAUGUCAAAAAGAAUCUUAGAACAUAGGGGUCAGGUGUAUAAUUAGAACCAGCAAUCCAAAUACUUACAUUGUACAAAUAUUGCUUUGUGGAAGAAAGUUUGCAAACAUUCAGCACAUGAAAGAGAAUUACUUGCCCUAAAACACCAUAACAUGUCAUAAUUCCACCUUAAGCAAUACAGUUAUGAAAGGGGCUAUUUUUAGCUUUCCCAUGGUUGUUAUGGCAACCACCUCCUGGCUCCAGCUGUACACAAUGUUUAUAAUUCCAGGGAAGUGAAAAGAGCAACUUUCCUCUAUAAUGUAAUUAUGUACUUUCUACAUCUAUGGUAACAAUACCUUAGUUUGAUUAUAGGUAUUUGUUUAGCGAUAGUCAGUUGGCCCUAGGCUAUAGUUCUAGAGGGUUUGGAAAAUCUCCCACAUCAGAGGUGGAAGCAGUGGAAGGAAAACAACAACAAAGGAUCAUGAUAAAGGACUCUGCUGUUACUCAAUGGAGAUACUAAUGCUAUGGAAACCAGCCAUAGGAAAUAAGCCAUUUGGGGAUGGUGUAAAGAGCAGGCUAUAAUGAAACCACUUAUAAUAUGUAAGAUAACAGAAAUCUACAACAUAUUUCUCAAUCAAAAUGAAGACAUUCGGCAUGUACUAGCAGAACCAAUUCAAACUGGAACAAAGAUGGGGCGAGUGGACAUUGCCUUUUCCUCCAAGGGUUGGUUUGACAUCUUAUAAUCACUUUAUAUAACAGCCAUUCUCCCAGUAAAAAGUGAAAAACCAGAGGAAGAGGUCUUGCUUCAUCCAACUCCACUGAUUUUGGCUUUGAGAGAAUACAGCUUUAAGAAGGUAUUCCCGGGAAUAUCCCAGGAACUCUAUCCGCCCCCUCAGAAUAGUAGGCAAUUGAGUUAGUGAUGGUGACUCAGGCAGGCUUUUUCAUCCUGAUCUAAAGGAACCACUACAACCCUAGAGAGAGAAAUAAAAAGGGAAUCGAGUGGAAAAGGCCUCCACCACCGAUGACUCAUGCUCUACUGUGACUCGCCUGGUACAUCACUCUGUGGCUAAGACAUGGAGGCUUGGUUCAUUAGUCACUUCAGUGAUUUUUUCAAAGCAAGGAUUCUCCCUCUAAAUAAUCAUGAGCUCUGCUUCCACAGUGUUUGUAUGUGAGCUUGUGACUCACCUUUCCACCAUGCCAGGCAGUACCAAUUGUGUCAUCUGCAAGAGAGAAAGCAAAACAUUCAUGAUGGCCAAGGAUGCAGGCAACAGAAAAAGAGUGAAGAAAACUCACCCACACUAAAAAGAAGGGAAUCAUGAAACCAUUCACCACUUCUACAGACAGCAGGUUAUUUUCUGUACACUGUAGAAUGUGACUGUGUCAAGAGGGCAUAAAAAGGAACCAGCUGAAAUUACUGGAGAGAACACAGGGAAUACUUUAAUGAACCUGGCUAAAAUUAGUCUUGCCUGAAAUGUAAUACUGGCACAGAGUUCUUCAAACAAUGAAGGAUUUACAGUGAAAAUCUACAUUUCCCAAAAUGCAUUCUCAGAAAAGAAUAUAUGUUAUCAGAAGAAAUAUCCUGCCUACCAAGAUGACUUAAGCUUUCUAACCUCAAGAGCUCACAUAAACUUUUCCAGCCAAAAAAAGUCUUUAAAAGAAUACGAUAAAGUGGUAGGUUGGCAAAGAGUAAGUGUAACUUCACAUUCAUUUCUCUUGUUGGUCUAGUUAGCUGUAAGUAAAACUCAUCCUUAAAGAGAGUUAAGAUGUGAUCUCUAGUAACCAACAUGAAAAGGUGACAUCUGCAUUUUUUAAGGACUCCAUAAUUGUUGACUAAAUACAUAUAAUGAGAGGGGCUAUUUUUAAACUCUGUUUUGAUAUAUUAUUAACCAAGAAAAGUUCAGAAGUCCAAUGGUUUAGUCAAAAUCACCUCACAGUUAAAUACCGAGGCUGUAACGUGAAUUUCUGACUCCUGGAUAUCAUCAAUUCUCUAAGAAACAGAUGCUGUUUUGUAAUAAUAAGGUUUCAAUGCAUGCUAAGCAUAGAAAUUUUGUUGUUUCUAUCUUGAAUAAUACUUCAUAUUAAUUAAAGUAGACAGCAUUCUGAUGAGAAGGGAAUUUUGUUUUCCUAGAAAUAUUCUGAAGAAAUAAAAUGCCAGCCAGAUUUAACAAGGUAAAUUCUGCUAUGUGAACAUCCAAUCCAGAUGUAUUAUGAACAGCUUUGUAUGGUAGUACAGAUGUACAUCAGGCAUAUUAACAGUGGUGGGUAUUUUAUUGUAAAGGAUAGAUUAUACAAAACCCUAACAGUAUUUGAAAACUUUUUUUUUUUUAUUUAGCACAUUUCAUCAGGGACCAUAAUGCUUAGCUAAAGUAUUAUAAAGAGUUCCCCCAGCAUUUUGUGAAGGGAAGCUAUAAUUCAGUUCUCCAAAGUUCUGAGAUCACCAGAAACAGAAUAAGGAAGGAGACUGGUAAUAAAAAUGUCUUUACCCAGGUGUAUGUGUGUCUGUGUGUGUGCGUGCGCAUUUGUAUUAAGGAAAUGAGAUCUGUUAACUAUAAAGCAGCUAAGUGGAGUCCAGAAGGGGUAGCCACUGCCUGUUUGGCUCUCUUAAACAGUCCCUCUUCUAUUUCCAGUUGGAAUAUUGGGGGCAGGGAGAUGGGGGAAUAUCAGGAGCUAUUUUUUCCCUUAUACCAUAUGCAUGUCAUGUAUAUAUUAAAUGUCUGCUUUCUGAAUGGCAAAAAUUAUCUAGAAAAUCAUGAGACAAAACAAAACCCCAUAACAUAAAACCAUACUUACAAAAUUAUAUCAUGGCAUGCUAAACAUUAAAUGUUUCCUUCAUCAAGAGGCCUUUUAUGUAGGGACAUGUUCAAAAUAUAUUCUUUAUAUAUAUGAAUUAAAACUCAAGAAGUUUUAAUAACUUGACAUAAACACUGAUUUCAAUGCCUGGCUAUUAAAGGCCAGAAAUAUUUGCUGAAUGCUCAACGACUAGAGGAUUCAUCAGCAAAGACACAAGUUCUCCCCUGCAAAAGUUAAUUUCUUUCUCAUAGCUCAUGAGCUCCUCCUUUUACAUUCUGACUCUAAAUUCUCUGUCCUUGUCAUAAAAUGUAACAUCUUUUUUUAAUCUGUCAAAUAAUAACAAUGAAAAGCCUGAGAAAACUUAACCUGAAAUCUGCAUGCUUUUAUCAAAUUGAUUAAUGCCUUCAUCUAUAAUGAAAUUAUCUUUCCUUCUAAUCAGAUUAUAAGUCACAAUAAAUUGAAUUUCAAGCCUUCUUUAUAUGAGUAUGUAUAUACAAAUCGUUAAUAUUCUACGCAUUAGUUAAGAGGCUUCGUUAUAUUCAGAUCAAAUUAAAUUUUCUUUAACACCAAAUUUUUAUAGGAUUUUUAGCUAAGUUAUUAGUAGAGUUAUCUGUAAGCAUCAGCUGGUAUCUUGAUAUUUGGUUAUUUAUAUGAAUAUACCAGGCAUUUCUGUGAAUUGUCACUAUCUAUCUGAACUCCAUUUCACAGCUCACAGGCUGUUUCUGGAGUUAACUCAAUGCUAAUAUUAGGCCAUCUGCAGGUGAUAAUUGCUGCACCAGAAAAAUUUUUGUUCCUCUUAACACACUUCUAAAAAAAGGUUACCAUAACUUGCAAGUUCAGUGGUUAAGAAUAUUAGACAAGUAGUAGUAAACAUGAUUUCCAGACCCAUUUUCUUCCCCAUUGGGACUGUUUCCAAAAGUGUAUAGCGAACAAUUUUAAUUCUUUCCUAAGAAGUAGACAAAAGUGGCCGGGCGCGGUGGCUCACGCCUGUAAUCCCAGCACUUUGGGAGGCCGAGGCGGCGGAUCACGAGGUCAGGAGAUCGAGACCAUCCCGGCUAAAACGGUGAAACCUCGUCUCUACUAAAAAUACAAAAAAUUAGCCGGGCGUAGUGGCGGGCGCCUGUAGUCCCAGCUACUUGGGAGGCUGAGGCAGGAGAAUGGCGUGAACCCGGGAGGCAGAGCUUGCAGUGAGCCGAGAUCCCGCCACUGCACUCCAGCCUGGGCGACAGAGCGAGACUCCGUCUCAAAAAAAAAAAAAAAAAAAGAAGUAGACAAAAGUUUCUACAAUUGUGCUUCUACAACAGUGAGAGUGUGAAAUCCUUGUCCUUGCAGGGAAAGUGUUUCCUCUUUAUAUACAUAUAUAUUUUCAGUGACAGUAUCAUUAAUCCUCACCACAAGAAAAUCCUAGAUGCCUAGAAUCUAAAGGGGAUAGUUUAAUAUAUAUGUUAUAUCACACUUAAGGUAUUGUUAUCACUUUAUAUGCAAGCUAGCCAAAAAGUAUACAAAUAUAUGAGGAAAAAUGAAUGUCUUGAUGACAGCUAAAUUUAGAAUUUGAUUCAAUGUCAAGAGUAAAAUAUUUACUAGUAUUUACUGGUAUAGCAAUGUAUAUUCUGGCUGGGAAAUAAAUAAGAGGCUUAUUUCGCUUAUACAAAAUCAAAAUCAGUACUAUUAGAUUAAGAUUAUUUAGAUGAUUAGAUUAUUCAGCAAAAAUGCAUUGGCUGGCCUAGAAAAUCCUUGAAAAUGUUAUAUUAAAAUGUAACCAUCUGCAGUUACGACUAAAAGUGACUUAAUUUCUUCUUAGUGUUUGUAUAUAUUUCUCAUACUUUUGGCAACAAUCUUGCAUUGUUUUUACAAUUAGAAAAGCCUCCACAAUCUUAUUUCUAAAAGAAACCUAAUAUGAAUAAAACUUUUUCUGUUUUACUCCUGUAGCGUCAGUAAUCAACAGUUUGUAGAAGGAACUUUAUUUUAUACCCAGGAGCCAAUGUAGAUUUUCCCACUCAUUAAUUUAGUAUGAAAAAUGAUACAAUAUAAGCAAAUUAUUCUCAUAUCAUGUAAUCUUUGGCAUUUGGUCAUUUUUUAGAGAGAACAGUACAAAGAAAACAUGAUUGCAUAAUGUUCAAAAAGACAAUCAAAAGCUCAAAUUAAAAGAUUACAUUAAAAUUCAAGAUGCUUUAAUCACCUGUAUUAUCAUAAUACACAUGGAGAGAAUAAAGUAUAACAACUCACCCUAGAAUCCAGGCAAAGCCCCUGGAAUCCAGGAUAUUCAUACCCAGAAUUAGGAUACCACAAAUAGCCACUUUGUCCACAUCUGCCCUCCCUCUACCCCAAAGAAACCUGCUUACCAUAAAUAGGAUCUGAAUCCAAGUAACUAAAAACGUACCCACACAAUUUGGAAGUAAACAAUUUCUUAGAUGCAAAUACCUUAAACAAGUUUUCAACUGUAAUCAUUAACAAUAAUUUUUCAAAAUCACAGUGUAACAGUGAAAAUAAUUACAGAAAGUGACAACAGUGUUACACAAUGCCUGGUUUGGAGAAAUUAGAUGGUAACUCCAUUGAAAAUCAUGCUACAAUGACACAGCACACAUUUCCUUUGGCAAACUGUGUAAUUUGAGCACCGCGGUAAAAAAGAACACAACUUAAUUAGAAAUUCUUAGAAUCUCACCUGUAUAGCUAAUAGAAUAUUUAUUGCACAGUGGGUGGAAAGCUUAAUUAGACAAAGUUUCUAAGAGUGCUUUGAGAUCUCCAAGUAUUAUUUGAUUUCCCUUUUUAUUAAUGUUAAGUUUUUGUGAAAGUUAAGAGCCCUGCCUUGCCAUUUUCCCAGCUCCAUAUUACUUAACCUUAAAUUCAAUCCUAUAUCAUUCAAAAUAAAAUUUUUCCUUUUGUAAUAAAUUUGGUUUGAUCUACAUUAAUUUAUCAAAAGAAAAAGAACUUUUCAGAACAAAGAGCUCCAUGCCAAUUAAUAAUGAUUCCAAAGCCAUAAUUCAUAAACUCUAAACAAAAUUUU
rnacentral:lncRNA from 1 species